CUUCCAGGAAAAGCCACUAAGCUUCAGCUAUUGACGACCGUACCGCAAACCGACACUGGUGCGCGAGAUGAGUAUUCUAAGGCGCUUGAGAGAACUCUGGAGAAGGAACUCGGCAAAUUGACACCGUAACUUCGGAAGAAGGUGUGCCUUUAGUAGGUGUAGUUGUACAAACGAAGCCCAAUGAGGCCGCAGAGAAUCGGUGGCUGCAACUGUUUAUUAAAAACACAGCACUCUGCAAAGACGAAAGUCGACGUAUAGGGUGUGACUCCUGCCCGGUGCUGGAAGAUUAAAUGAUGGGGUGCAAGCUCUUGACUGAAGU
rnacentral:rRNA from 12 species